rnacentral:rRNA from 1 species
ACCAGUGUCAAGGAAGUGCAGUUUGACUGGGGCGGUCGCCUCCUAAAAAGUAAACGGAGGCGCGCRAAGGUCCCCUCAGACUGGUCGGACAUCAGNUCGGAGAGUGUAAAGGCUAUAAGCGCGAGCUUGUACUGCGAGACCGUACAAGUCGAGCAGAUACGAAAGUAGGCCUUAGUGAUCCGAGCGGUUCGUGUCAGUGGAACGUGCUUGUCGCUCACACGCGAUAAAUAU